rnacentral:lncRNA from 1 species
UUUAAUUUCUUUUUUUGUUAAUUUUUGUUAUUUUUGUUAAUAACAUUAAUUUUUGUGUUUUCUUGCGAUAUUUUGUUGAAUCAUAUUCUUUUACAACGAAAAAUAGUUAACCUUCAAAUAAAACAGGUUUUAGGGAACAAACACGCUCUUCAAGCAGUUUCCCUAAAUUGUAACACAGCCAUUUGGCUUUUUAACUUUUUUUAUAUAAAAAUAAAACAAAAUAAUGGAUUUAGCUCCUGAAAUCGCUUGGUGUCCCUCCGAUUUGUUUCCCCUUACGAUUGCUCUUCUAUAUUGACGUCGUGCCUGAGGAAGGUUUAAUUGUAAAACCGAAACAGCUGUAGCACCGAUUUGCCAGUUUAAAUAAACUAUUUUUCGUCGUACAUUCAACCCCAG